AACGAACGCUGGCGGCAGGCCUAACACAUGCAAGUCGAGCGCGCCUUCGGGUGCGCGGCGGACGGGUGAGUAACGCGUGGGAAUAUGCCCUUCUCUACGGAAUAGUCCUGGGAAACUGGGGGUAAUACCGUAUACGCCCUUUGGGGGAAAGAUUUAUCGGGGAAGGAUUAGCCCGCGUUGGAUUAGGUAGUUGGUGGGGUAAUGGCCUACCAAGCCGACGAUCCAUAGCUGGUUUGAGAGGAUGAUCAGCCACACUGGGACUGAGACACGGCCCAGACUCCUACGGGAGGCAGCAGUGGGGAAUCUUAGACAAUGGGGGCAACCCUGAUCUAGCCAUGCCGCGUGAGUGAUGAAGGCCUUAGGGUUGUAAAGCUCUUUCAGCUGGGAAGAUAAUGACGGUACCAGCAGAAGAAGCCCCGGCUAACUCCGUG
rnacentral:rRNA from 1 species